UCUUGGUCAUUUAGAGGAAGUAAAAGUCGUAACAAGGUUUCCGUAGGUGAACCUGCGGAAGGAUCAUUACCAAACAAACCGCGGCCUAAAAACCGCACACUCCGUCCGGGUUCGGGCCCAGCGGCAGUGUCAACCUGCUGUGAACCAGAGUCCUGUGCUUCGGCAGCGGGACCGGCCGGGUCAACCGGUCGGGCCGUGAGCCUGCCAGCAGCGAACUUUGCAAACCUGCAUCAAACCGGCAGUCGUUCACGCAUUCCGAAUGGAAUCAAAACUUUCAACAACGGAUCUCUUGGUUCUCGCAUCGAUGAAGAACGCAGCGAAACGCGAUAGUUAAUGUGAAUUGCAGAAUUCAGUGAAUCAUCGAGUCUUUGAACGCACAUUGCGCCCUCCGGCAUUCCGGAGGGCAUGUCUGUUUGAGCGUCAUCUCAACCCUCGUCUCUGGCGGUUUUGGGCUCCGAUCACCAACCGGGCCUUAAAGUUGAACGCUCCGCGGGCUGCCUGACCGGCGAACAUGGUGGAAUUGCUUCUGUUCCAACCGGUCGUGGCCGUCCGCCUGAACAAGAACCCCCUUCAGGUUUGACCUCAGAUCAGACAAGGAUACCCGCUGAACUUAAGCAUAUCAAUAAGCGGAGGAAAAGAAACCAACAGGGAUUGCCUCAGUAACGGCGAGUGAAGCGGCAAGAGCUCAAAUUUGAAAUCUGGGACCCUCGGUCUCCGAGUUGUAAUUUGAAGAGGACGCCUCGGGCGCGGUCACAGUCUAAGUUCCUUGGAACAGGACGUCGCGGAGGGUGAGAAUCCCGUACACGGCUGGUGACCUGCGCUCAUGUGUGGCCCCAUCGAAGAGUCGAGUUGUUUGGGAAUGCAGCUCAAAACGGGUGGUAAAUUUCAUCUAAGGCUAAAUACGGGCGAGAGACCGAUAGCGCACAAGUAGAGUGAUCGAAAGAUGAAAAGCACUUUGAAAAGAGAGUUAAACAGUACGUGAAAUUGUUGAAAGGGAAGCGCUUGCAAUCAGACUUGCGUUCGGUUGAUCAUCGUUCCUUCUGGUUCGUGCACUCUGCCGUCCGCAGGCCAGCAUCGGUUGGGACGGCGGGACAAAGGCGUCGGGAAUGUGGCUCCCUCCGGGGAGUGUUAAGCCCCUCGCGCAAUGCCGCCUGACCCGACCGAGGUCCGCGCUCACGCUAGGAUGCUGGCUUAAUGGUUGUAAGCGACCCGUCUUGAAACACGGACCAAGGAGUCUAACAUCCAUGCGAGUGUUUGGGUGUAAAACCCAUUCGCGAAAUGAAAGUGAACGGAGGUGGGAGCCGCAAGGUGCACCAUCGACCGAUCCUGAUGUCUUCGGAUGGAUUUGAGUAGGAGCAUGGCUGUUGGGACCCGAAAGAUGGUGAACUAUGCCUGAAUAGGGUGAAGCCAGAGGAAACUCUGGUGGAGGCUCGCAGCGGUUCUGACGUGCAAAUCGAUCGUCAAAUUUGGGUAUAGGGGCGAAAGACUAAUCG
rnacentral:rRNA from 1 species